GGGAUGAAAAGAGUUGAGAUAGGCCUAGAGAAGUUAGAGUAUAAUAAGGGAGGGUGUACUAAUGCUGAAUAUAGAUGUUGAUUUGAGUGCUUUGUGUGUUCCUUUUGGCUAUAAGCUCCCACCUUCAAACCUCUCUCCCUAUGAGUUCUAGAAAGUUUACUUGAGGACAAGUAAAAGAAUAAGUUUGAGGGAGUUGAUAUCUUGCAUAUUUACAUUAUUUUAUCCAUUCACCCAUGUGCAUUUUGAUCAUA
rnacentral:lncRNA from 1 species